rnacentral:rRNA from 1 species
UACAGAGGGUGCGAGCGUUGUCCGGAAUCACUGGGCGUAAAGGGCUCGUAGGUGGCCAACUAAGUCAGACGUGAAAUCCCUCGGCUUAACCGGGGAACUGCGUCUGAUACUGGAUGGCUUGAGUUUGGGAGAGGGAUGCGGAAUUCAUGGUGUAGCAGUGAAAUGCGUAGAGAUCAUGAGGAAGACCAGUGGCGAAGGCGGGUCUCUGGACAGUUCCUGACACUGAGGCACGAAGGCCAGGGGAGCAAACGGG